AUACGUAGGUGGCGAGCGUUGUCCGGAUUUACUGGGCGUAAAGGGAGCGUAGGCGGAUUUUUAAGUGAGAUGUGAAAUCCCCGGGCUUAACUCGGGAGUUGCAUUUGAAACUGCUGAACUUGAGUGCAGGAGAGGAAAGCGGAAUUCCUAGUGUAGCGGUGAAAUGCGUAGAUAUUAGGAGGAACACCAGUGGCGAAGGCGGCUUUCUGGACUGUAACUGACGCUGAGGCACGAAAGCGUGGGGAGC
rnacentral:rRNA from 1 species